GGACAUCAAGGUAGAGAUUGUAGAAACUCUGUGGUGCCCCCAUAGCCUUGGAGGUGACCAUAGACGGAGCUAGAUUAAUAGACUUCUGAUUCACUAGGACGGGAGUUAUCUUAAGAUGGAGGUGGUGCAUAGCUUCCACGGGCUCGAAGUUCAAACAGUGAGGACUUCGAAGGGCUUGGUUGGAGUUUCGAAUAUCUGAGGGCACA
rnacentral:lncRNA from 1 species